rnacentral:rRNA from 1 species
AACGAACGCUGGCGGCAGGCCUAACACAUGCAAGUCGAACGCUCCGCAAGGAGAGUGGCAGACGGGUGAGUAACACGUGGGAAUCUUACUAUCGGUACGGAAUAGCUCAGGGAAACUUGAGGUAAUACCGCAUACGCCCUUCGGGGGCAAGAUUUAUCGCCGAUGGAUGAGCCCGCGUCUGAUUAGCUAGUUGGUGAGGUAAUGACUCACCAAGGCGACGCUCAGUCGCUGGGUUGAGAGGAUGACCAGCCACACUGGGACUGAGACACGGCGCAGACUCCUACGGAAUGCAGCAGUGGGGAAUAUUGGACAAUGGGCGCAAGCCUGAUCCAGCCAAGCCGCGUGAGUGACUAAGGUCUUCGGAUUGUAAAGCUCUUUUACCAGGGACGAUAAUGACGGUACCUGGAGAAUAAGCCCCGGCUAACUUCGUGCCAGCAGCCGCAGUAA